GGGCGGUUAGCUCAGUUGGCUAGAGCGCGUGCUUGACUCGCACGAGGUCACCAGUUCGAAUCCGGUACCGCCCACCA
rnacentral:tRNA from 1 species